rnacentral:rRNA from 1 species
UACGUAGGGUGCGAGCGUUGUCCGGAAUUAUUGGGCGUAAAGAGCUCGUAGGCGGUCUGUCGCGUCGAAUGUGAAAACCCGGGGCUCAACUCCGGGCUUGCAUUCGAUACGGGCAGGCUAGAGUUCGGUAGGGGAGUCUGGAAUUCCUGGUGUAGCGGUGAAAUGCGCAGAUAUCAGGAGGAACACCGGUGGCGAAGGCGGGACUCUGGGCCGAUACUGAUGCUGAGGAGCGAAAGCGUGGGGAGCGAACAGG